AAGUCUAUUGGAACUGGCUCUCUAUCCAUGGAAUCUCAUCCAUCAUCCAUACAUAACGAAUUGGUAUGGUAUAUUCAUACCAUAACAUAAGAACAAUAAGAACUCGAAUUCUUAUCGAUACUGGAACUCAGAGCAUAGGAGGGAAAGUCGAUUUAUGGAUGGAAUCAAAUACGCAGUAUUUACAGAAAAAAGUCUUCGUUUAUUGGGAAAGAAUCAAUAUACUUUUAAUGUCGAAUCGGGAUUCACUAAGACAGAAAUAAAGCAUUGGGUCGAACUCUUCUUUGGUGUUAAGGUGGUAGCUGUGAAUAGCCAUCGACUACCUGGAAAAGGUAGAAGAAUAGGACCUAUUCUGGGCCAUACAAUGCAUUACAGACGUAUGAUCAUUACCCUUCAACCGGGUUAUUCUAUUCCACUUCUAGAUAGAGAAAAAAACUAAAGGAGAAUACUUAAUAAUACGGCGAAACAUUUAUACAAAACACCUAUCCCGAGCACACGCAAGGGAACCGUAGACAGGCAAGUGAAAUCCAAUCCACGAAAUAAUUUGAUCCAUGGACGGCACCGUUGUGGUAAAGGUCGUAAUUCCAGAGGAAUCAUUACCGCAAGGCAUAGAGGGGGAGGUCAUAAGCGCCUAUACCGUAAAAUAGAUUUUCGACGGAAUCAAAAAGACAUAUCUGGUAGAAUCGUAACCAUAGAAUACGACCCUAAUCGAAAUGCAUACAUUUGUCUCAUACACUAUGGGGAUGGUGAGAAGAGAUAUAUUUUACAUCCCAGAGGGGCUAUAAUUGGAGAUACUAUUGUUUCUGGUACAAAAGUUCCUAUAUCAAUGGGAAAUGCCCUACCUUUGAGUGCGGUUUGAACUAUUGAUUUACGUAAUUGGAAGUAACCAAUUAGGUUUACGACGAAACCUAGAAAUCGAUCACUGAUCCAAUUUGACUACCUCUACGGGAUAGACCUCAACAGAAAACUGUUGAGUAACGGCAGCAAGUGAUUGAGUUCAGUAGUUCCUCAUAGAAAAUUAUUGACUCUAGAGAUAUGGUAAUAUGGAGAAGACAAAAUUGUUUGAAGCACGCACAGAACCGGAAGCGCCCCUUGUUUCAAAGAGAGGAGGACGGGUUAUUCACAUUUAAUUUGAUGGUCAGAGGCAAAUUGAAAGCUAAGCAGUGGUAAUUAAGACCCCCGGGGGAAAAUAGGGAUGUCUCCUACGUUACCCAUAAUAUGUGGAAGUAUCGACGUAAUUUCAUAGAGUCAUUCGAUCUGAAUGCUACAUGAAGAACAUAAGCCAGAUGACGGAACGCAGAGACCUAGGAUGUAGAAGAUCAUAACAUGAGCGAUUCGGCAGAUUUGGAUUCCUUUCCUAUAUAUCCACUCAUGUGGUACUUCAUCAUAUGAUUCAUAUAAGAUCCAUCUGUCUAGAGAUCGUCAUAUACAUCUAGAAAGCCGUAUGCUUUGGAAGAAGCUUGUACAGUUUGGGAAGGGGUUUUUUGAGAGAAAAGAAGAAUCUACUUCAACCGAUAUGCCCUUAGGCACGGCCAUGCAUAACAUAGAAAUCACACGUGGAAGGGGUGGGCAAUUAGCUAGAGCAGCAGGUGCUGUAGCGAAACUCAUUGCAAAAGAGGGUAAAUCGGCCACUUUAAGAUUACCAUCUGGGGAGGUCCGUUUAGUAUCCCAAAAUUGCUUAGCAACAGUCGGACAAGUGGGUAAUGUUGGGGUGAACCAAAAAAGUUUGGGUAGAGCCGGAUCUAAGUGUUGGCUAGGUAAACGCCCCGUAGUAAGAGGGGUAGUUAUGAACCCUGUGGACCACCCCCAUGGGGGCGGUGAAGGGAAAGCUCCCAUUGGUAGAAAAAAACCCACAACCCCUUGGGGUUAUCCUGCGCUUGGAAGAAGAACUAGGAAAAGGAAAAAAUAUAGCGAUAGUUUUAUUCUUCGUCGCCGUAAGUAAAUACGUAACUAGGAAUAUGGAAAAUUGCAUUUUUGGAAUUUGCAAUAAUGCGAUGGGCGAACGACGGGAAUUGAACCCGCGCAUGGUGGAUUCACAAUCCACUGCCUUGAUCCACUUGGCUACAUCCGCCCCUUAUCCAGCUAAAGGAUUUUUUUCUUUUUUCCGUUGAUCAUUAUUCUAUUUAUUCUGACCUCCGUACUUCGAUCGAGAUAUUGGACAUAGAAUGCCACUCUUUAAAAAGGAAAAAAGGAGUAAUCAGCUGUGACACGAAAAAAAACGAAUCCUUUUGUAGCUCAUCAUUUAUUGGCAAAGAUAGAAAAGGUCAAUAUGAAGGAGGAGAAAGAAACAAUAGUAACGUGGUCCCGGGCAUCUAGCAUUCUACCCACAAUGGUUGGCCAUACAAUUGCGAUUCAUAAUGGAAAGGAACAUAUACCUAUUUACAUAACAAAUCCUAUGGUAGGUCGCAAAUUGGGAGAAUUCGUGCCUACUCGGCAUUUUACGAGUUAUGAAAAUGCAAGAAAGGAUACUAAAUCUCGUCGUUAACUGAAUUCUGAAUAGAAAGAUUAAGAAGAAAAAAAAGAUUCAAAAUAAAGUAAAGGUAGGCGGGGAAUAAACUUAUUUAUGACAAGUUUCAAACUAGUAAAGUAUAUCCCUAGGAUAAAGAAGAAGAAAAGUGGGCUAAGGAAACUCGCAAGGAAAGUUCCAACCGAUCGUCUACUUAAGUUCGAGAGAGUUUUCAAAGCACAAAAACGUAUCCCUAUGUCUGUUUUCAAAGCACAAAGAGUUCUUGACGAGAUUCGGUGGCGUUACUACGAGGAAACUGUUAUGAUACUGAACCUCAUGCCCUAUCGAGCAUCUUAUCCCAUCUUAAAGUUGGUUUAUUCGGCAGCCGCAAAUGCAACUCAUUAUAGGGAUUUCGACAAAGCGAAUUUAUUCAUUACUAAAGCCGAAGUCAGUAGGAGUACUAUUAUGAAGAAAUUCAGACCUCGAGCUCGAGGACGUAGUUUCCCUAUAAAAAAAAGCAUGUGUCAUAUAACAAUUGUACUAAAUAUAGUAAAGAAAUCUAAAUAACCUUUAGAUCCAUCUAAGAUUUCGAUUCCCAGUAAAAAAAAAUAUAGAAUAGAAAAAUAUGGGACAAAAAAUAAAUCCACUCGGUUUCAGACUUGGUACAACCCAAAAACACCAUUCCUUUUGGUUCGCACAACCAAAAAAUUAUUCUGAAGGUCUACAGGAAGAUAAAAAAAUAAGGGAUUGUAUCAAGAACUAUAUACAAAAGAAUAGGAAAAAGGGCUCGAAUAGAAAAAUAGAAUCAGACUCAAGUUCCGAAGUAAUUACACAUAAUAGAAAAAUGGACUCAGGUUCAAGUUCCGAAGUAAUUACACAUAUAGAAAUUCAAAAAGAAAUCGAUACGAUCCACGUCAUAAUCCAUAUUGGAUUCCCAAAUUUAUUAAAGAAAAAAGGAGCAAUCGAAGAAUUAGAGAAAGAUCUACAAAAGGAAAUUAACUCUGUAAACCAGAGAUUUAAUAUUUCUAUCGAAAAAGUUAAAGAACCUUAUAGACAGCCUAACAUUCUUGCAGAAUAUAUAGCUUUCCAAUUAAAAAAUAGAGUUUCAUUCCGAAAGGCAAUGAAAAAAGCCAUUGAAUUAACUAAAAAAGCAGAUAUAAGGGGAGUAAAAGUAAAAAUUGCGGGUCGUCUCGGAGGAAAAGAAAUUGCACGUGCCGAAUCCAUUAAAAGGGGCAGACUUCCCCUCCAAACAAUCCGCGCUAAAAUUGAUUAUUGCUGCUAUCCAAUUCGAACUAUCUAUGGAGUAUUAGGUGUAAAAAUUUGGAUAUUCGUAGACGAAGAAUAACUAAUCUUGUCUUCGAAUUCUGUCCAUUGAUAGAAUAAAAAAUGACAAGAGACUUUUUUCCUGAAAUCCCUGCAAAAGAAGAAAUUCUACCUCUUUCUAUAAGAUUUAAUGAAAAUUGAUAAAUCAUUUAAUAUAAUUGCUAUGCUUAGUGUGUGACUCGUUAUUUUUUUUUCUUUUUUAAAGAAAAAAACUUAGUAAUUAUAGAAAAUUAACUAAUACUAAUAACCAACCUAUUGCUUCGUAUUGUCGAGAUCCUAACUAAGAAACAGUCACUAUAUGAAUAAAUACCUCUAUCAUAAAUGAGUAGAUGUGUCAUAUAGUUGUAGCAACUGCACUUUUUUAUCUAAAAAAAAAAUGGGAUUCUAGGUUGUGAAGCAAAACUAAAGGGAUGUGGAUAAAGGGAGGGAUGAUAGAAAGAAGGAAGAGGAAAUAAAUAAGAUAUAGAAUUCCACUGUGUAUGGUCUAUGAAUUACAUCAUAAAAGGCAAUGUGAAAAAGCAUCAAUAUAAUAAAACUAAUAGAGAAUGAAAAAUUGUAACUUGAAAGAAGAACUACAAAUUUUAAGCAAUAAUAAAGAGCCGCCCGGGUUAAUAAAACUGAGAAAAUUAACUCGGAAAGAAAUUUUUUGGAAGCUCCGUUGCGGGAUUCAGACCUAACCAUUCAAGGAGAAGCAGUGGGAACGACAGAACCUAUGAUUCCAUAGGAUUUUAUUGAAAAGAAUCCUAACACUUCAUUGGGUGGGAUGGCGGAACAAACCAAAAAAAUUGUCUUAUUUGGUAAGUUUAUAAAUUAACAAAUAAGACAGGAAAGAGUAAAUAUUCGCCCGCGAAAUUCUUAUUGAAUUAGAAUACUUUACCGCGAUUCAAUAAGAGUAAAAAUAAGGAUAUUUUUUAGAAGGACUACAUUAUUAUCUAUAAAUAUAGAAUUUAGAUAAAUAUCCACACACAUCUGGAUAUAUUCUAGAUCUUCUUUUUUGACUAUAUAUUAUAUUUUUCUGUUUUAACAAAUUCAAUAUAAAAAUAAAAAAAAACCUAACUUUUUCUAUUAUCUAUUAAUGUGUAUCUAUCCGUACCGUAAUAUUUUUAAAUAUUAUGGAAUUAGAGAAAUUUAUUUACAUGCUUUCUCAUUCCAUUCGCGAGGAGCUGGAUGAGAAGAAACUCUCAUGUCCAGUUUUGGAGUAGAGAUGGAACUAAGAAAGAGAACCAUCGACUAUAACCCCAAAAGAACCAGAUUUCGCAAACAACAUAGAGGAAGAAUGAAAGGAAAAUCCUUCCGAGGCAAUCGUAUUUGUUUUGGUAGAUAUGCUCUUCAAGCACUUGAACCCGCUUGGAUCACGGCGAGACAGAUAGAAGCAGGACGAAGAGCAAUAACACGAUAUGCACGUCGUGGUGGAAAAAUAUGGGUACGUAUAUUUCCCGACAAACCGGUUACACUAAGACCCACGGAAACACGUAUGGGCUCGGGAAAGGGGUCCCCCGAAUAUUGGGUAGCCGUUGUUAAACCAGGUCGUAUACUUUAUGAAAUGGGGGGAGUAUCUGAAACUGUAGCUAGAGCAGCUAUCUCCAUAGCGGCCAGUAAAAUGCCCAUACGAAGUCAAUUUAUUCGAUUAGAGAUAUAGAACCCUAAAAGGGGUAUGGAAGAAAAAAAAUGCCCGGUUUUUCUUUCUGGAAAGACAAUAUUUCUUUCAUCCUUUUGCAUUGAAAUAACAAAUUGAAAUCAAAAUAAUAUGAUUCAACCUCAGACCCUUUUAAAUGUAGCAGACAAUAGUGGAGCUCGAAAAUUGAUGUGUAUUCGAGUCAUAGGAGCUGCUGGUAAUCAGCGAUAUGCUCGUAUUGGUGAUGUUAUUGUUGCUGUAAUCAAAGACGCAUUGCCCCAAAUGCCUCUAGAAAGAUCCGAAGUAAUUCGAGCUGUAAUUGUACGUACAUGUAAAGAAUUCAAAUGCGAAGACGGUAUAAUAAUCCGCUAUGAUGACAAUGCUGCGGUUAUAAUUGAUCAAAAAGGCAACCCAAAAGGAACUCGAGUUUUUGGCGCGAUUGCCGAGGAAUUGAGAGAAUUGAAUUUUACCAAAAUAGUUUCAUUAGCUCCUGAAGUAUUAUAAAUACUAGUAGGCGAAAUUUAGAUCAAAGAAUUAAUAUUAGUAGAUUGUGUUUUACGUAUAUGUUUUAAAAUCCAAAAUGAAAAGAAAAAAAAGAAAACAUGUUGAUUAUAGAAAAAUUAGGAGGAACCUAGAAUUAGAGUCUUAUGGGCAAGGACACUAUUGCUGAUUUACUAACUUCUAUAAGAAACGCGGACAUGAAUAAAAAAGGAACAGUUCGAGUAGUAUCUACAAAUAUUACCGAAAACAUUGUUAAAAUACUUCUACGAGAGGGUUUUCUUGAAAGUGUUCGGAAACAUCAGGAACGUAACAGAUAUUUCUUGGUUUCAACUUUGCGACAUCAAAAGAGAAAGACUCGAAAAGGAAUAUAUAGAACAAGAACUUUUUUAAAGCGUAUUAGCCGACCCGGCUUACGAAUUUAUACCAACUAUCAAGGAAUUCCUAAAGUUUUGGGUGGAAUGGGAAUUGCUAUUCUUUCUACUUCUCGAGGGAUAAUGACAGAUCGAGAAGCUCGACUAAACAGAAUUGGGGGAGAAGUCUUAUGUUAUAUAUGGUAAUCGCCCCGCCUAUAGUGCUCGAAUUCUACCUCGCCCUUCCUAUUUUGAAAAUAAAAAUGGAAAAAUAGGAGAAAAAAAUAUGACAGAAAAAAAAAAUAGGAGAGAAAAAAAAAACCCGAGAGAAGCAAAAGUUACUUUUGAAGGUUUAGUUACGGAAGCCCUACCCAAUGGAAUGUUCCGCGUUCGGCUAGAGAAUGACACCAUCAUCCUAGGCUAUAUUUCAGGAAAGAUCCGGUCUAGUUCUAUACGAAUACUGAUGGGGGAUAGGGUCAAAAUUGAAGUAAGUCGUUAUGAUUCAAGCAAGGGACGUAUAAUUUAUAGACUUCCCCAUAAGGAUUCGAAGCGUAUCGAAGACUCGAAGGAUAGCGAAGAUUUGAAGGAUAGCGAAGAUUUGAAGAAUACCAAAGAUUCAAAGGAUUAGGUUUUUCUUUUUUUUUCUAGGGUAAUAAAUUCUAAGUUCUAAAAUUCAAGCGAAGAGACUUAUUUUUUUCCAAAAUAUUAGAUUCAUAGUUUAAAAAAGGAUACGGAAAUAUGAAAAUAAGAGCUUCCGUUCGUAAAAUUUGUACAAAAUGUCGACUGAUUCGUAGGCGUGGACGAAUUAGAGUGAUUUGCUCUAAUCCGAAGCAUAAACAAAGACAGGGGUAAUCUUUCGAAAAAGAACUUUACUGUCUAAAAAGUAAAAAAAAAGUACCCGCGGAAAUGUUCCAAUUCCAAAUAAAAUAAUUUCAAAUAAUUAAAGUAAAGGGUGUAUUUUACCCUGAAACGGAUAUCUUUGUAUCUUUUUUUUUAUUUCUAACUCAUAUUUAUGAGAUAAUAAAAUAUGGCAAAAGCUAUACCAAAAAUUGGUUCACGUAAGAAAGUGCGUAUUGGUUUACGUAGGAAUGCACGUUUUAGUUUACGGAAGAGUGCACGUAGAAUAACAAAAGGGGUUAUUCAUGUUCAAGCUAGUUUCAACAAUACCAUUAUAACUGUUACAGACCCACAAGGUCGGGUGGUUUUCUGGUCCUCGGCCGGUACUUGUGGAUUCAAAAGCUCAAGAAAAGCAUCACCCUAUGCUGGUCAAAGAACAGCAGUAGAUGCUAUUCGUACAGUAGGUUUGCAACGAGCAGAAGUUAUGGUAAAGGGCGCUGGUAGUGGAAGAGAUGCCGCAUUACGAGCCAUUGCUAAAAGUGGUGUGCGAUUAAGUUGUAUACGCGAUGUAACACCUAUGCCGCAUAAUGGAUGUCGACCACCUAAAAAAAGACGUCUGUAAAAGAAUUAACCCGCUUUCAACUUUCAAGAGAAAUAAACGAUUCAAUGAUAAAAUAAUAAUACUAGUCUAUUAUGGUUCGAGAGGAGGUAGCAGGAUCCACUCAAACACUACAGUGGAAGUGUGUUGAAUCAAGAGUAGAUAGUAAGCGUCUUUAUUAUGGUCGUUUCAUUCUGUCCCCGCUUAGAAAAGGUCAAGCGGACACCGUUGGUAUUGCCUUGCGAAGAGCUUUACUUGGCGAAAUAGAAGGAACAUGUAUCACACGUGCAAAAUUUGGGAGCGUGCCACACGAAUAUUCUACAAUAGCAGGUAUUGAAGAAUCCGUACAAGAAAUUUUACUAAAUUUGAAAGAAAUUGUAUUGAGAAGUAAUCUCUAUGGAGUUAGAGACGCAUCAAUUUGCGUCAAAGGUCCUAGAUACAUAACUGCUCAAGAUAUCAUCUUACCGCCUUCCGUAGAAACCGUUGAUACGGCACAACCUAUAGCUAACUUGACAGAGCCCAUUGAUUUCUGUAUUGAUUUACAGAUCAAGAGAGAUCGUGGAUAUCAGACAGAACUCAGAAAGAACUAUCAAGAUGGAAGUUAUCCUAUAGAUGCUGUAUCCAUGCCUGUUCGAAAUGUGAAUUAUAGUAUUUUUUCUUGUGGGAAUGGAAAUGAAAAACACGAGAUACUUUUUCUAGAAAUAUGGACUAAUGGAAGUUUAACCCCUAAGGAAGCGCUUUAUGAGGCUUCUCGUAAUUUGAUUGAUUUAUUUCUUCCUUUUCUACACGCCGAGGAAGAGGGCACUAGUUUCGAAGAAAAUAAAAACAGGUUUACUCCACCCCUUUUUACUUUUCAAAAAAGAUUAACUAAUCUAAAGAAAAACAAAAAAGGAAUUCCAUUGAAUUGUAUUUUUAUUGAUCAAUUAGAAUUAACUUCUAGAACAUAUAAUUGUCUAAAAAGGGCCAAUAUACAUACACUAUUGGACCUUUUGAGUAAGACUGAAGAAGAUCUUAUGAGAAUUGACAGUUUUCGUAUGGAAGAUAGAAAACAUAUAUGGGACACUCUAGAGAAGCAUCUCCCAAUUGAUUUACUUAAGAAUAAACUCUCGUUUUAAAUCCAUUGCAAUUUUUUUUCUUCUUCUUUUUCGAGUUAGAAUAGAAUAAAAAGAAAAAAGAAAACAAUUUUGCAUCUUUGGUACAAUCUAUAUUUUCGCGAAAUGGAUCAUAAUAAAAUAAUAAAAUGGAUUUUAGGUAUCUAGGGAAGAUUCUACUUGGAAGUAACUAUUUCCUAGAUACCUAUGGUACUUCAUGGUUGAAUGAAUCAAAAAAAAUCUAAAAAAGACCUAAAGUUAACGAUUUAUCAAUGGGUAGUGUUGCUCCAAUACCUAACCAAAGAGCUACUACAGUACCGAUUAAAAAAACGGUCGUAGCUACUGGGCGGCGAAAUGGAUUUUGGAAUUUAUUGACAUUCUCUAGAAAAGGUACUGUCAAUAAGCCUGUUGGCACAGAAACCAUUAAGAGAACGCCCAAUAACUUAUUGGGUACCGUACGGAGUAUUUGAAACACGGGAAAGAAGUACCACUCGGGUAAUAUUUCCAAAGGAGUUGCAAACGGGUCUGCCGGUUCACCAAUCAUUGAUGGCUCGAGAACCGCUAAACCUACAUUACAUGCAAUAGUACCUAGAAUUACUACUGGAAAAAUAUAUAAAAGAUCGUUGGGCCAUGCGGGUUCCCCGUAAUAAUUAUGUCCCAUCCCUUUAGCUAAUUUAGCUCUUAAUACAGGAUCAUUUAAGUCUGGUUUCUUUGUUAUUGGGAUAGGUGAACUCUUUAGGAUCCAUCCCCCAAAGGAACCGGACAUGAGAAUUUAUCAUCAUCCGGCUCGAGCAAGAGUGAAAGAAAUAAGACCGCGGAAGAUCCUUAAUAGAAUUAAGGUAUAUAAUGACUCAAUGACUCUAGACAAAAAAAGCUUUAUCAGAUUCUCUUUUCCAAAGUUGCACCUACCACUACUCAUUGAAAAUAAUCCUAUUCUUAUGGGUAAAUGCUCAAUAUCCAAGUGGGCUUACAAAUUUGAUCAUGAUCAAUUGCUUUGUGGAUUGUCUCAUGUCUCUUGAUUAGUUGGUAUUUAUCCCCUCAAUAUCGCAAGUUUCUUACCUCCAAACAAAAUAUUUACUUGUUACUAAUAAAAAAUCAAAAAGUUUAGCCUACAUUCUUCCUUAGAUCCCUUCUUUUACUCCGAUAGUAUUGCGGAUCACAAUCGAUGCAAAGAAAAUGAAUGCAUUUCCAUACUAUAAUAAAAAGGUAAGUGUAAUAAAUAGAGAAUUGGAUCAUGUCACAUGACUGAUUCCAUUUCCACUCUAUGGGAUCUUACGGAGCCUGUUCAUGGAUGACAUGGUUGCGGUAUGAUCAUAGAAGAUAUUCUCCUCAAGUGAACCAGCCUAUCCUUCCUAGGUAGGGGACUUACAUGUUGAUUGGAUGCGGAGACACCUUUGGUUGUGAAUUCUAAUGUGGCAGAUCCAAUUCUUUAUCUGCAUGGCCAAAUCAAUAAUUCAAGUCACACACUCCCAUAAUCCGCCUUUUUUCUUUCGUAAAAUUAACUUCAACUAUUUGUAUCGUAUAAAAAUACUUCGGAGUUGAAGAGAAGUAUCCAAAUGACAUGUGUUAUUUUACAAUAACCCAUGCUUGUAGCAAUGAAAUACCACAACCUACCCGAUAUGAUAUAUGAGAAUUAGAAUUCUCUAUGAUAUGCCUUCCCUAUAAAGGACCCGAAAUACCUUGCUUACGUAUCAUUGGAAAGUGCAUUAACAUAAAUACGGCAGUAAGCAGAGGCAGUACAAAGGUAUGUAAACUAUAAAAACGAGUCAAAGUGGAUUGGCCCACACUAGCACUUCCGCGUAAUAACUCCACUAAAGGCGAUCCUAUUACCGGAAUGGCGUCAGGUACACCUGUCACAAUUUUGACUGCCCAAUAGCCAAUUUGAUCCCAAGGCAAAGAAUAACCAGUUACACCAAAUGAUGCAGUCAAAACAGCCAAAACCACACCUGUCACCCAAGUUAAUUCACGGGGUUUUUUAAAUCCCCCUGUGAGAUACACACGAAAUACAUGCAGGAUCAUCAUUAAAACCAUCAUACUUGCUGACCAUCGAUGAACUGAUCGGAUUAACCAACCAAAGUUGGCCUCGGUCAUUAUGUAUUGAACCGAGGAAAAAGCCUCUGUAACGGUUGGUCGGUAGUAAAAAGUCAUAGCAAAACCGGUAGCGACUUGUACUAGAAAACAAGUAAGUGUAAUUCCCCCUAAACAAUAAAAUAUGUUGACAUGGGGAGGAACAUAUUUACUAGUUAUAUCAUCCGCAAUUGCCUGAAUCUCAAGACGUUCCUCAAACCAAUCAUAUACUUUAUUGAGAUAGGUAACUAACCCACGCCCCCCUCUAAGAGCCGUAUAUGAAAAUUUCAUCUCGUACGGCUCAAGCAGAAACACACAAAUUUUCAACGAAUAUUAGAAAAAAGGUUCAAAACUUCAUCAGCCACUGAAUCGGGUCGAUUUGCCUUGAAGAUAGCAAAUAAAAAAAAUCCGGAAUAUCUUCUUUGUGAUGAUAAUGCCAAAAAAUCUCAAGUUGGCGCGUCUUUCUUUCUUCCUUUCCCUUAUGUUGGUCAUUAGAGGCUUCUUGACUUUUCUCUUCCCUAUUUUGGAUUUUUUUUUAUGCGUAAUAUAGAAAUUAUCUUGUUGUGAUCCUAUGAAUCAGUUCAAUUAAAACCUUAGAUUCAUACUAGAGCCACGAUGAUUUAGUCUCAAGCUAAACAAAAGGCAAGGGUUCUUCGAAUAAGAACCGCUUGAUAAUCAUUUAUUGAAAUUGAAUCAGUGUAAUGACUCGACAAAAUCGAUAGAAAAAAAGUUGUCUUUUGGGCAAACAAAAUUGUAAGGAAGAAAAUUUCUUUUUAUUUUAUUUAAGAACUACUUGAAUUUUUCAGUCUGGUUGCGAGGUCUUAAUAGUGAGUAUGAAUCAUAGUUCCAUUUUUUUUGAUCCACUCUAUCUAUUUCGUGUUCCAGAUACUAGAAUAAAUAAUAUCUGACGAAUUAGAAUCAUCUUGAUAGAGAUAACAGGCCCUUUCUAUGUAUUAUCAAUAGGAUCAAUUCUAACAAGUCACACACUCAUAUUCCAGAGAUACCGAAACAAAAAAAUUCCGCGGUCGAACUACCAUAAUAUCUAGAAAUGUAGAGCUUAAACUAGAAAGGCUUUUUUGGAUGGAAAAACUCUGACUUCCUAGUUUUAGUUAGUAGAAACCUAAUUGGUUAAAAUUCCAUCCAGUAAAAUGGAAGAAUUAUAAAUUUCUAAAAUGAUAGAUAGGAAUAUAGCGAAUAAAGCCAUUGCGACCCCCAUAAAAGGAGUAGUCCCCCAACCCGGGGCGACUUUCCCAUAUUCCGAAUUCAAGGGUUUCAGUAAACUACCUGCACCAGUUCGUUUUGGCCUAGGUUUAGAACUAUCUUCAACGGUUUGUGUAGCCAUAAAUUAUAUUUAAUCAUUGGUGUUGACUUUGUAUACUAUUCCGUUGUAGUUGUAAAUACACGAUCUUUUCGUAGAUCCAUUGUAAUCUUGAAAUUCUAUAAAAAUGGAAACAGCAACUUUAGUCGCCAUCUCCAUAUCUGGUUUACUUGUAAGCUUUACUGGGUAUGCCUUAUAUACCGCGUUUGGGCAACCCUCUCAACAAUUAAGAGAUCCAUUCGAAGAACACGGAGACUAAUUUAAGUAAGAAGUCCCCCUAUCUGGGAGACUUCUUACUUAAAUGAAAUUAUUUUAUUCUUUUAGUUGGAGUUGGUGGAACCUUAGGUGGUUCUCGGAAGAAGAUAGCGAAAAAAAUUAUCCCUAAAGUCGAAACUAAAAGGAACGUAUAAACCAAUGCUUCCAUAGAUUCGAUCGUGGUUUAUUUACAAUUAUAACUUCCACACCUAUUCAUUUGUCAUUUGGGAGAAUUUCCCAUAUAAAGAAAGAAAAAGAGUCAAAGAAAGGAAUGGGAGAUGUCAAAUCAAAAAAGAGAGGUGAAAGAUACCAUAACAAUGUGUAUCAGACUGCCUGUUUCUUUGUAGUUGGAUCUCCCACUUUUUGGAAUGUUCCAAAUUCCACUUGAGCAUCCAAAUCUGGAUCAAUACCAGCAAAAACAUCUCGGAACAAUGUUCUAGCGCCAUGCCAAAUGUGUCCGAAAAAGAAGAGCAAAGCAAAGGUAGCAUGACCAAAAGUGAACCAACCCCUUGGACUGCUGCGAAAAACACCAUCGGAUUUCAAAGUAGCCCGGUCUAAUUCAAAAAUUUCCCCUAAUUGAGAACGCCUCGCAUAUUUUUUUACAGUAGCAGGAUCAGAAUAAUUUACUCCAUUAAGUUCGCCACCAUAGAACUCCACCGUUACGCCUACUUGUUCAACACUAUAUUUGGAUUCUGCUCUUCUAAAAGGAACGUCCGCUCUAACAAUUCCCUCCUCAUCUACCAAAACAACCGGAAAUGUUUCAAAAAAAGUAGGCAUACGGCGUACAAAAAGCUCACGUCCUUCUUUAUCUCUAAAGACGGGAUGUCCUAACCAUCCAACAGCUAUUCCAUCCCCAUUGUCCAUUGAGCCCGCUCUGAAUAAUCCCCCUUUUGCCGGAUUAUUACCAAUAUAAUCAUAAAAGGCUAAUUUUUCGGGAAUUUUAGACCAAGCUUCUGAUAAACUAAGAUUUUCGGCUAAACCAUUGCUAACUCUUCGAUAUAUUUCUUGCUGAAAGUAUCCCUGAUCCCACUGAUAACGAGUAGGCCCAAAUAAUUCGAUUGGGGUCGUUGCUGACCCAUACCACAUAGUUCCAGCAACUACGAAAGCUGCAAAAAAAACAGCAGCGAUACUACUGGAAAGUACAGUUUCAAUAUUGCCCAUACGUAAUCCUUUAUAUAGACGUUGAGGCGGACGGACACUAAGAUGGAAUAAGCCCGCUAAUAUACCCAAUGUACCCGCAGCAAUAUGAUGAGAAGCUAUUCCCCCCGGAACAAAAGGAUCAAAACCUUCUGCACCCCACGCUGGAUUUACAGCUUGUACUUUUCCAGUUAGUCCAUAAGGAUCGGAUACCCAUAUCCCAGGACCAUACAAACCCGUUACAUGAAAUGCCCCAAAGCCAAAGCAAGCCACCCCUGCAAGAAAUAAAUGAAUUCCAAAGAUCUUGGGCAAAUCCAAAGAGGGUUUUCCCGUCCGCUCAUCAGAGAAUAUUUCUAGGUCCCAAUAUACCCAAUGCCAGAUCGCUGCCAAGAAACACAAGCCAGAAAACACAAUAUGCGUAGCUGCCACACCUUCAUAACUCCAAAUACCCGGAUUUGUUACAGUUCCUCCUGAAAUACUCCAACCACCCCACGAAUCCGUUAUUCCUAAACGAGUCAUGAAGGGAAUUACGAACAUACCUUGUCUCCACAUUGGAUCCAGAACAGGAUCAGAGGGAUCAAAAACUGCUAAUUCGUAUAAAGCCAUUGAGCCAGCCCAACCAGAAACUAGAGCUGUGUGCAUUAUAUGCACCGCAAGCAAUCGACCCGGAUCAUUCAAUACGACAGUAUGAACACGAUACCAAGGCAAACCCAUGGAAAUACCCCUUUAGCAAAGAAAAAUAGACACGAUGUCGCUUUAUUUUAUCGCAUUGAAAAAGAUUAUCCAUUGUACCUAACCCUUCUAGGGGAUUCUGUGUCAGAAAGCGCGAAUAUUUAUUUCAUUCCAUUAAAAAAUAAGAAGCCAAUUCUGUUCAUAAGAAGAAAGAGAAGCAGAUCUAUUCUAUACUCGAUAAGUGCCAAUAUGCAAUGGGUAACUUGGCCAAUUUGGAAAAAACGAAGAAUAGAUCGCUACCCCUCUUUGUUUAGCAUUCGAAUCACCCAUUCCUUUUUCUUUAUUCAAUCUGUCUUACCUUUCUUAUAUGUAUAACCUUUCCAUCUAUGUAUUAAUAGAAUCUAUAGUAUUCAUAUAGAAUAGAAUAAGAAUAAAAUAGAAUAGAAUAAGAAUAAAAAUUAAGACAAUAAACUGCAGAUUCUUUCUUUCUGUUCCAUUCUUACGUUUCCAUAUUAAAGUGUUUCUUACUUAAAUUUAAUAAUAUUAAUCUAAUAUGCCCAUUGGUGUUCCAAAAGUACCUUACCGGAUUCCUGGAGAUGAAGAAGCGACUUGGGUUGACUUAUACAAUGUUAUGUAUCGAGAAAGGACACUUUUUUUAGGUCAAGAGAUUCGUUGCGAGAUCACGAAUCAUAUUACAGGUCUCAUGGUAUAUCUGAGUAUAGAAGAUGGAAUUAGUGAUAUUUUUUUGUUUAUAAACUCCCCAGGCGGUUGGCUAAUCUCAGGAAUGGCUAUUUUUGAUACGAUGCAAACGGUGACACCAGAUAUAUAUACAAUAUGCCUCGGAAUAGCCGCGUCCAUGGCGUCCUUCAUUCUGCUUGGAGGAGAACCCGCCAAGCGUAUAGCAUUCCCUCACGCGAGGAUUAUGCUUCACCAACCUGCUAGUGCUUAUUAUCGGGCAAGGACACCAGAAUUUUUACUAGAAGUAGAAGAGUUACACAAAGUUCGCGAAAUGAUCACAAGGGUUUAUGCACUAAGAACAGGCAAGCCUUUUUGGGUUGUAUCCGAAGACAUGGAAAGGGAUGUUUUUAUGUCAGCAGACGAAGCCAAAGCUUAUGGACUUGUCGAUAUUGUAGGGGAUGAAAUGAUUGACAAGCACUGCGAUACUGAUCCAGUGUGGUUUCCGGAAAUGUUUAAGGAUUGGUAGUGUCCGGAUUUCUUGUAAAGUUAUUUCACAGCUAAAUUCGUGUUUUCCUCGAUUUAAUAGAAAAUAGAAAGACUUCAUGAUGAGCAAUCAUCAGGUUAAGAUGGAUCUAAACCAAUCCAUUUUUUUCUAUAUACAUACAACAUGCCAACGGUUAAACAACUUAUUAGAAACGCAAGACAGCCAAUACGAAAUGCUAGAAAAACGGCUGCGCUUAAAGGAUGCCCUCAGCGUCGAGGAACAUGUGCUAGGGUGUAUGUGCGACUCGUUCAGAUCAUGACUUCAAACAAAUAUAAAAAAAAUUUGAAGUAUCCCUGAUUAGUACCAAUGAAUAGGAUAUAGCUUCUCUAUCCUAGAUUUCUAUGGUAUAUGGAAUUUCUGGUUUCCUUUGGUGCAAAUCGAAUUAUCUAAAUUUGGAAAUAAGAAGCAAUUCUCCCAUUGGUAGCAAAUGGUUAUCCAUUAAGCGGAGGAAAUAGUAAUAAAAAGAAAAAGGCUUAUGCUCUUUUAUCUUAUAAAGAACGGACUAACAGGGUCAGCUACUUAGCCAACUUUCAUAAUUAAAUACCGUCACUGUAUGGAUAACUCUUAUUGUGAAAAGAGCUAUUUACUCUAUAAUGGAUAGGUAGAGCCAAAGAAUGUGAACUAUACAAGUUCGUAAUACUUUUUGAUGAAAGAAAGGGCUCCGGUGUAUAGAGAGGGCCUCACCGUUUAAAAGGGAACCAUAGAAACGAUGGAACCCACUAUUUUUUUUAGUAUUAUUUAGAAUGAAUUUGUUAUUUCGUAUAGAAAUAACUGAACGGAGUGGAAUAAAAAAUCGUGGUUGGGAAGGUUACUAUAGCAAAAGCCAUUGGAAUUAAUAUUUUAUAUAUCGGAAUAAUUAGUUUUGUUAUUAAUGAGAAAAAGGGUGGCUAAAAGAAGAGAAAUCAUUAGUUAUUCAUUAAGGUUAAUUUGAUUCAAUGACCAGAGUUCCGCGAGGAUAUAUAGCCCGGAGACGACGAACAAAAAUGCGUUCAUUUGCCUCAAACUUUAGAGGGGCUCAUUUAAGACUUAAUCGAAUGAUUACCCAACAAGUAAAAAGAGCUUUUGUUUCCUCUCAUCGAGAUAGAGGUAGGCAAAAGAGGGAUUUUCGUCGUUUGUGGAUCACUCGGAUAAACGCAGCAACGCGGGUAUAUAAAGUAUUCGAUAGUUAUAGUAAAUUAAUACACAACCUGUACAAGAAGAAAUUGAUUCUUAAUCGUAAAAUGCUUGCACAAGUAGCUGUAUCAAAUCCAAAUAAUCUUUACACGAUUUCCAAUAAAAUAAAGAUCAUCAAUUAAAGGUAUAAAUAAAGUAAUAUACUGGAAUAAUAAAAGAUGAAUUCCCGGAGAGGGAACUCCGGGAAGAUACAAUAAAUUAAGAUUAAGUGGUAGGAAUCGACGAGCUGGAUUACUUUCUUUAUAAUAUAUAUAGGUCUGGCCCUUGCGAAUUCGAAUAAAACAUCAACAAUCGGAACUUAAGUUCCGGUUGUUGUUUCUUAAAUUUUGGUUGUAGUUUCUUAAGUUUCGAUUGGAAUUGUACUUUUGCGUUAAUUGAGGAAUAUGUCUAUUUUUUCUGGGUCUAGAACCUGUAAUUAUUGAAAUUGACUGGGCUUGAAAUUGUUUUUCGUUCUCAUAGUUACGAAACGGUAAAAAAGAUAAAAUACGAGCCUGUUUUAUAGCAAGAGUAAUUAAUCGUUGUUGUUUCAAGGUUAAUCUAUUUAUUCGUCUCGAUAAUAUUUUUCCUUGUUCACUAAUAAAUCUAUUAAUUAAACUCAUGUUUCUAUAAUCAAUUCGAUCUCCCGGGCCAAUCCGGGGACGCCUACGAAAAGGUUGUUUAGAUUUACGAAAAGGUUGUUUGAAUUUACGAAAAGUUUGCUUGGAUUUACGAAAGGGUUGCUUGGAUUUAUUAAAAGUUUGCUUGGAUUUACUAAAGGGUUGCUUAGAUUUAAGAAAAGGUUGUUUAGAUGUAUACAUGAUUUAUUCCUUAUUUAAUUUAAAAUUGGAAAAUGCACUUCUUUAUUUUAUUAAUUUAGGAUCCAGAAGAAGUAGUUUUUCUUUGAUCCAUAUCUUAUUUGAUUCAUAUUUAUAGUAUAUGAAUACCCUCUAUACAUAUGAAAUAAUAUCGACCGGAAAUCAGAUGAGUUGAUUUGUAUUUUGUAUUCUAUACUAUGUUUUAUUUAUAUAUAAAAUAUGAAGUUCUUACUCUUUCUGUUGUUUGGAAAGAUCGAAUACACGAUGUUCCUAUUUCUUUAUUUCGUGAUGAGUCGUAUGCUUGCGACAAUAACGACAAAAUUUUUUGAAUUCUAAUUGUCCGGGUGUAUUGUGGCGAUUCUUUUGAGUACUAUAUCUAGAAAUCCCCGUCGAUUCCUCAUUGGCACCUUUUCGAACACAACUGAUGCAUUCCAAAAUAACUCUGAUUCUAACAUCUUUUCCCUUGGCCAUGAACCUCCUUUUCCUUUUGGAUUGACUUAAUUUAAUUCUUCUACUUAUUCUUUUAUUCUUCUAUUUUGAAUCCGAAGAAGAAGAAUAAAAUUCAUUAGAAUAAUUUUUUUUUAUUCUUAAAUUAAGUAAUAAAAAAUAGAGAAAUAAUUAAAGAAUACAAUCCUUGUCGAAUUAGCAAAGAUUUUGGUUCGAAAUCCUUUCAUUUAAUUAGUCAGCCCCGCCUUUUUCUAUGCUCUGAUUUCUGAGGCCUGAUUUAGCUUGGGUACCCCUUUAAAUUGAAUUUCUAUUUUUAAAAAUAGGGUUUACCAAAUUUUUAAUGACUCUGAGGUUCAACCCAAUCCAUCUUUUCUUUCUUUUUCCUUCCGAUACUAAAAAAAGAUUGAAAAGGAUAAGAUAAAAUUUUGUCAUAUCACGAAGAAAUCUAUCCCUCCCAUAGCAAUAACUAGAAUUAAAAAAAAGGGAAUGACAAAGCAUCCGGGAAUAAACGAUUAAUUUCUAUCAAUAAACCUGCUAAAGCACCAAACCAUAGAGUACUUAGCACGGGUGCUACAGAGAGAUAUGUUUUUAUAUCCCGCAUUGAAAAUCCUCCUUCCUUGUUGGAAUACAUAUAUGAUCAUAAACUUAUGCUAUAUAUAAACUGAACCAUAAUCGACGAAAUUUUCCGAAAUUGUCCUAUCCCUAAAAAAUAAAAAGAUGACCCCUUCUUCCUAUAUAUUAUCAAGGAAAAGUAAUCUUUCUUUUAUAGGCGAAAUUCUAUUGGAUUUUAGCUGUAUAUAAUUCCUUAAUUAUAUGAGACCAAAAAGAAGAAAUGACACGAGGGUUCUAUAUAUAGAUAGAGAAAGAAUAAGAAAAUUAUGAUGUGGAAAAGAAGACAGGAAUUGUGUACAAUGGCAUUGCACAACAAUUUAAUUUGGAAAAGGGAUGUAGCGCAGCUUGGUAGCGCGUUUGUUUUGGGUACAAAAUGUCACAGGUUCAAAUCCUGUCAUCCCUACCUAUUACUUCUUUCUUCUUUAUAGGCAGUAGCAACGAGAUCAAUUAAAGUAAAGUGGGUAUAACUGGAAUUUGUGGAGACUAUACGUACGUGAGAUACAUUAGGAAUAGAAAAAGAUUUUCUUUUUGAAUGAAUGAAAGCGCUCUUAGUUCAGUUCGGUAGAACGCGGGUCUCCAAAACCCGAUGUCGUAGGUUCAAAUCCUACAGAGCGUGAUUCCAUCUAUCUUAUGUCGAAGCAGAGUAAAAUAAUUUAACAAAAUUGAAUUGUAACUCCAAUUUGACCUCCUCCAGACCAGAGAGGAGGUCAAAUAAAAAAAAAAAAUGACUCAAUCAAAGAUCCAACUGAUCCCCACGCCUGUAUUGCAAAUACGCAGUCACGAAUAAUCCCGCUAAAGUAAUAGGAAUUAGGCCUAAGACGAUUCCAAAUAGAAAAACUUCAAUCAUUUCGAUUUGUUCGGGGGGAUAAAAAAAGAGGUACGAUCUAUCCCUAAAUAGUACUCUAAAUUAUCCACGAAUCUCAAUGACCAAGAAAAGAAUUCCUAAUUAGUCUGGAAAAGAGUCGUAGAAUAUCAGGAAUCCCAAAGAAAGAUUUUGCUUUUCUGAAUUAUUAUUAUUCAGUCAAUUCAAAUAAGACGUAUCUUGUUCAAGCCAAUAAAUAGAGCUGGGGUUAUAGUUAAAGCAGCCAGUAGAAAACCGAAAUAACUAGUUAAAGUAAGCAUGAAAGAGUUAAAUUCCAUUUAUUUUUUUUUACUACACUACAUAUGUUGGUAAAGCAUUUACCUAAGUUAUGGAAAAUUCAUAAUUCAUCAGUUAUUUUAGAUAAUACUAAAAAACAAGAUAGAGUGAGAUACAGAAGUGUAAAAGAAAGUGGAUUCAUCAGAUGAUACAUGAGUCCCUAAUUUCGAAUCAAGAGAUUUGUUAUGGAAUUUUUCAAUUGAGUAAAGUAAUAAUAUUAAGAACUAGAUCAUAUAACCCCAUUGAAUGAAAAAAUGAAAUUGGAUUUUCAGGGAAAUUUCGGAAUAAGAGAUAAAUAAACAAUUGAAUUUGAAAAAAAAACUUCUUUCUAUUUUGGAUAAUUUCUUUUUCAAUAGGACCCUCUUUUUGGACUGAACGAUCGAAUAUUCCCCUAUUCCUUCUUAUUUUAAUUUUAACUGAUUGUAUUCUAUAUGGAAUAAGAGGAGAAGAAAAGCAUUCCACGACCUCCCGAGGGUCUGUUAAAAAAAAAAGAAAGCUCUUCCUUGAAUUUACUUUAUUUUUAUUCCUUUUUCGAACUCCAACCAAAGUAGAUUCGAAGACGAGUCACUUCAAUUAUCCUUUUAAGUUCUAUUCUAUCUUCUGUCUUUCCCUAUUUCAUCUCGUAAAGUUCCACGCUCGCAGUUUGGUCAAGAAAGUUAGACCUAAUCCAACAAACAAGACAAGGAUUAAUUACGAAUUAUGAAAGGAUAAAUUUCACAUAUAUAUACUUGUCCUUGUAUUGUGUCAGUAUGAGAAUAUCCUUCCUAAAUUAUUUAUCCAAACCUAUUGAUCAUUAACUUAGAUUUUCCCAAGAUUUUGGCUGCUAUUCCGAAUUACUCUAUUAUUCCGAAGCCAAGGAAAAUAAAUAGAACCUACAAAAAAGGGGUUUUCUAUUGACGCCUUGAAUAACAUAUAGCUUACCUAUAGACAAAAAAAAGUAAUUAUGUUUCGGAACCAGGCAAAACCAGAUUGCUGUGCCAUAGGAAGGAUAGCUAUACUAAUUCGGUAUACUCAAAAUACACCUUUGGUACAAAAUUGACAAUCUCACAAGGAUGAAAUAUCAGUAAUUUUCUAUUUACUGGUUGAUCCCAUCUUUUACGGAAUCAAUUCCUUUUUUGAAUGUACAAAAAUUUUGGGAGUUCAGCAUGUCUGGAAGCACGGGAGAACGUUCUUUUGCUGAUAUUAUUACCAGUAUUCGAUACUGGGUUAUUCAUAGCAUUACUAUACCUUCCCUAUUCAUUGCGGGUUGGUUAUUUGUCAGUACGGGUUUAGCUUAUGACGUGUUUGGAAGUCCUAGGCCAAACGAAUAUUUCACGGAAAGCCGACAAGGAAUUCCGUUAAUAACCGACCGUUUUGAUUCUUUAGAACAACUCGAUGAAUUUAGUAGAUCCUUUUAGGAGGCCCUCAAUGACCAUAGAUCGAACCUAUCCUAUUUUUACAGUGCGAUGGCUGGCUAUUCACGGACUAGCUGUACCUACUGUUUUUUUCUUGGGAUCAAUAUCAGCAAUGCAGUUCAUCCAACGAUAAACCAAAUUCCAACUAUAGAACUAUGACACAAUCAAACCCGAAUGAACAAAAUGUUGAAUUGAAUCGUACCAGUCUAUACUGGGGUUUAUUACUCAUUUUUGUACUUGCUGUUUUAUUUUCCAAUUACUUCUUCAAUUGAGAGAAAGAAAGAGACUAAUAAGAAUUCUCUUAUCCCAUUUGGAAAGAUACCAUCCUUAUAACUACCCAUGACUGUUUUUGUCUCUAGCAUGACCAAUUGAUAAAAUGUGGAGGAAAGUAGGGGAAAUGGCCGAUACUACUGGAAGAAUUCCUCUUUGGCUGAUAGGUACUGUAGCUGGUAUUCCUGUGAUUGGUUUAGUAGGUGUUUUCUUUUAUGGUUCAUAUUCUGGAUUGGGUUCAUCUCUAUAGUAAUCGGAGGGACCAGAUUGUAAACAUGAAAAAGUAGGAGCUUAGCGGGUCCUUACCCCCUUUAUCUGAUUAGAGCGGAAAGGACCCGCGGAAUUUUUACUCUUAUAACGCGAAUUGAAUCUAUUCGAUUCACUCUUAUGAAGCAACAAGAAAAAGAGAUCACUCGAGGAUCCAAUAUCUUAUUCCACAAAGGAAGUAUCCUGAAAAUCCUUGAUUUAGUUUCGAGUAAUAAACUAAUAAAACCUUAAUCAAAACUAUUCAACUAGCCUAAAAAUAAAAAAAAAACCUUCAAUGGAAGAGUUUACUUUUUUUUGCAAAAUUUCUGUAAGUUUGAAGUUAAACUUAAUUAAACAAGCCAAGCAAUUCUAUUUGCUUACAAUCACAAGAAAUUUGUCCCCCGCCAUAUUUUCUUCCCCUCUGUUUGUCCACUACCUCGGCUAAACCUAAGCAAAAGAAAAAGAGGCCCAAGAGACAGACCCGAAUAAAGAAGAAAUAGUAAAGUAAUCUUUGACGAAUUAGGAAGAAAAAGGAUUCUUAUUUUGAUACAAGAAGAAUCGGCACAAGAAAAAGCCUUUUUCUUGUGCCGAAUAGACGAUUAAGAAGACCUGCAAUCCCUCGAAAGAAAUUUAAAUUUUAUUGUUCUCGCCUUUGCCUUGGAUUCUCUUCUUUUGCAUGAGAUAUAAAUAAGGAAUUCCAGACAUCUCGUAAACAAAAAAAAGUCUAAACAAAAAAAGGAUUUCCAAAAAAGAUCAUAGAUAAUUCUAGCAAUUGCCAAUAAAUCGAGGCUUUUUACCAACUUGAUGGUAAGAAAUUCCGGGACCUAGAAAUUCAUUUCGUACAAUUGAACCUUUUCAAACUGUUUCUUUUUGAGAACCAAAAAAACUUGUGCCAAAAUAACGGAUGCGAAGAAGAACAAAAGGCCUUGGACACGUAAUGGAUCCUGAAGCACGAUUUCUGCGUCCCCCUGACCAAAACCUCCCACAUUAGGAUUGCUUGUUAAUGGUUGAUCAAUCUUGAUGGAUUCCCCCUCUGAAACAAGAAGUUCUGGUCCGGGAGGUAUAAUAUCAAUCACUUGGCGUCCAUCUGAUGCAUCAACUAUGGAUAUUUCAUACCCCCCUUUUUCUUUACGUAGUAUUUUUCUUACUAUACCUGUUGACGUAGCAUUAUAGACUGUAUUGUUACUCUUGCUACCAUCAGGAUAGAUCUGUCCUCUUCCUCGGUUUCCCCCUACAUAUAUAGGAUAUUUUAAGAAAUGAGCAUCUUUCUUCGUAGCAGGAUCAGGGGAAAGAAUGGGAAAGACAAUUUCACUAUAUUUCUUACCGGGAACAGGGCCUAUCACAAGAAUAUUUUUUUUAUCGGGACGAUAACUCUGAAAAGCAAGAUUUCCUAUCUUUUCUUUUAACUCAGGGGAAAUACGGUCGGGCGGCGCUAAUUCAAAUCCCUCGGGCAAAAUAAGAACAGCACCUACAUUCAACCCUCCCUUUUUUCCAUUAGCAAGAACUUGUUUCAAUUGCAUAUCAUAAGGAAUUCGAAGAACUGCUUCAAAUACAGUAUCGGGAAGCACAGCUUGGGGAACUUCAAUAUCGACGGGCUUGCUAGCUAAAUGGCAAUUGGCACAUACAAUUCGCCCAGUUGCUUCUCGUGGGUUUUCAUAACCCUGCUGCGCAAAAAUGGGAUAUGCAUUUGAAAUAGAUGUCCGAGUUAUUACGUAUAUCAUGAUCGAUACAGAAAUCGAUCGAGUUAUCUGUUCCUUUACCCAAGAAAAAGUAUUUCUAUUUUCCAUGUCCAAUCACAGAUCCCAGAAUUUCUACAAUAAAUUAGAUAGGUAGCUAAGCUAAUCUAGUUCCCUAUACACGAAUUUGUUGGCAUUCUACUGCAACAGUUGUACUGCAAUGAUGAAUACCUUAAAGCAGGUAUAAAUAGAAAGAAUUUUGGUAAAAUGGAAAAGGGCUUUCUUUCUAAAGAAAGAUGCUAAUUUGAUUAAUAUUAAUAUCGGGAGAUCAAAUGAAUUUAUGCUUCACUAAUUGAAUGAUAAAUGACUACAAGCGAAGGAGAUAGACGGUUUAAACAAAAAAAGACCCAAAAUUUCAAACAUGUAUCUAGAAUUACUGGAAAACUACAAACAAAAAUAGUGAAAAUAAGCUCAUUAGGAGCCCAUCCAAAAUCGUUAUAGACCCAACGAAUUACUAGUUCCCAACCACGGGUGGAGUGAAAUCCAACAAAAAAAUCAGUAACUAAAAGAAUAAAAAAAGCUUUUAUUGAGUCAUUUAAAUUAUAGAAGAAUUCCUGAACCCAAGAAUUCAAAAUGACAAGUUCCUCUUUACCCAGAAAAAAAGAACCACUUAGAAUAGCCAAACAGAUUAUAUUUGUCGAGAAAUGCAAAAUGAUAUGGAGAUGAUCCUCAUUAUUUAUUUUGACCCAUUGUAUUAUUUCCUUGUGUAUUCCUGUAGGAGGUUUUUGUACAUGUGUCUUUAGUUUCCCUUUUAUCAUCUCGUCCAAGAGAGAAAGUUCUUCUAAUUCUAUGAAUCUUUCUAGAAUCCUUUUCUCUUGAAUAUCAGUUAAGAGAGUUUCGGAUUGCCUGGUAUUCCACCAAUUCUUAAUCCAAAGUUCCAGACAUUUGUUAAAUGAGGAAGAGACCCCCCAAGGCAAAAGUACGAUAAAUACAAGAUAUAGUAAAGAAGGCAAUGCUUUCUUUUUUUUCAUUUUUGAUCUGUAAAUGGAGUUGUUAAUGAAUAUGCUUCAUUCGCUGACUCUAUUCCAUUCCCUGACUCUAUAUGAUGAUAUUUCUAUUUCAUGAUAUUUCUAUUUCUUUGAAGCAAAAACUCUAUAGGUUUGAUACCCUGUAUCUAUUCUUCUUUUUUGUAUAUUAGUGGAAUUUCAGUGCAUUGGGUUCUUUCUUAGAUCUAGAUGGAAUGAAAUAGUGAAAUAGAAUAAAAAAAGCCCUUUCGGGUGAAAAUGGAAGAGAAGAAUAGUAUGCAAUAUAUCUAACUUCGACAAAAAAAAUUUAAAAUAAUUUUAUCUUAUCCUCGUUUGUUCCUUCCUUUAGAUAAAUACUUAAAAAUCCCCUUACAAUAACAAAUCCAAUUUCGAAGGGACUUCCUCCCCAUGUUGAGAAAACUUUUCUUCUUCCAAUUUAUCUUUUCUUCAUUCAAUUCAGUUCAAAAAAGAUACCUCAAAAUACUUCAAUUGGUACGCGCAAGAAAUAGGCCAAUUCGGCAGCUUUUUGUUCAAUUUCUCGUGGAGUAAAAAACUUAUCAUCAGUACGAGUCAAGGGAAUGAUCCCCUGGCCCCGGAUUUCCAUAUAAAGAAUACGACGAGGAUAAAGACCCUCUUUAACCUGAAUUCUAAUUGAUUGGAUAUCCCGCAUAAGGAAUCGAAGGAAGACGCGACGUUUUAUUCCAGGGAAUCCCCAACGAAAAAUGCAAACUAUUCCCUCUUUUCUAUCGAAUCGGUCAUAACCACUACCUACAUUCCACAAAAUAGUACACCACAGGUAGGAGCUAAUGAAUAGGCCUGCGAUUCCGUAGAAAGACAUCACGACCCCCUGCGGAAAAAAAAGAAUUUCUUGAGAUGGAAGUAUAGAUAUAAUAUUCUUACCAAGAUAACUGGAAGUCCCAACCAAUAAGAAUCCUAGUGAACCUAGAAAAAGAAUACAGGCCCAGAAAAAAUUACUCCUUUUUCGAGAACCUUUUAGAAGUUCUACCCAUAUGUGUUCUGAUCGCCAAUUCAUAUUAGAUAUACUAAAUCCAGCAGCGGUCGAUUGAAAUUGAGAGAAUAAGCUAAAUAAUUUUGCCUUUACUUUUUUUGAUUCUGAAAUCGCCUUCAGCAACUAGUACUCCUGUGAAAUAAUAGGUUAGAUACAUUGACUUUCUAUUCAAAAAAUAUUCGUUGAUUCAAUUAAAAUAAAUAAAAAAAAACUCGCUAUACCAAGCUCUGCAUAUUCAUGCAUUUAUGCUCGUAGCCUAUAUCUGCAUCCAUAGCCGUUUUUCAUUUGUGUGUAGAAAGUGUGUGUAGAAAAAGUCACAUACCCUACCAUAUUAUAUUACUUACACUAAAAAAUACUAGACAAUCUUUUUUUUUUGCACAUAAAGAAAUAAAGAAGUCAUUGCAAUUGCCGGAAAUACUAAGCCUACUAAAGGCACGAAAAUAGAAGGUAAGUUUAAAUCCGUCAUGGAAUAGGUGUCUCAAUUCAAAUUUACUAUUUCUAUCUAGUCGAAAAAUAUCUUAAGAUUCUUAUGAUAUAAUUAAGUAUAUCUAUUAUAAGGAAUAUUGACUAUUGUAUUUUUUUAGUUUGCAAAAUAUUCUGUAAAAAAAAUGAUAAGGAUAAUAAGAAAAUUCCAAAAAAGGAGAACUAAUUAAAAAGAUUUUUUUUAUUUUCCCAUCCUCAUGGCCUUUCUAUCUUUCUAAUCUAAUUUGAAAUUGGAUUCAAAAGAAAGCGACUAGAAUUUACUUCCUGCAUACAUACUUCUCUAGAAGCGCAUACAAUAAUGCGUGGUAAAGGCAGAAAAAUAGUAUAUUCAAUCAAAAUCAAAGGGCAAAUUAUCUUACCUACUAUAGAUCCCCUACUACCCUCUUAAGAUCCCCUACUACCCUCUUAAGAUCCCCCCUACUACCCUCUUAGACUUUUAAAGGCGAUAUACCACCCAAAGAAAGGGUAUGAAAAUGCCGGGUGGUGUUAGCUUUUCGACGAAGACCCGUCCUGUGCCGCGAAGUCCUGUUAGUAAGACCCCGCGCAAUAAUGGAUUAUAGAAGAAUAGUAUUCAAAAUACUGCUCUGGACGCAUAUAGUAGCAUUGCGAUUCCUAAUCUUUUUUAUUUAUGAAUAUGAACAGAAAAAAUUCAUUGUAUCGUUGGGUCGGAGCGGAGGUUUGGUCCAGAAAAAUUAGGAACAAAACGUCUACUCUACCACACUGAAGUCUAUAGCGCUGUAUUUCCACGAAAGUAUAAUUCUUACCAUCAGGAUACGCUCCUUUCAACGUCUCUCCGAUGGGUCCAGGUUCUAUGUCCAAUCCCAAAUCAAGGAUUUCUCGCUCUUGAUCGGAGUCAUAAACUAAAACUACCUUUUUAUCCUUUUUAUUAAGGUUAUAGAAAACUUCCUUAUCUAGUUCUAGCAUGUUGACUCACGAUUACGCCUGUUAAAAGUUUCAAACGUCCUCUUUUUUGAAAUUGAAAGAGAGUCUUAUAAAAAGGUCUAACUUCCAAACUAUGUCUUUUUUCAUUCAUUCUCCUUUAGUUUUUUUCUCUAUCUAGAAGUGGAAUAGAAUAACCCGGUUGAAGGGUAAUGAUCAUACGUCUGUAAUGCAUUGUACGGCCCAGAAUAGGUCCUAUUCUUCUACCUUUUCCAGGUAGUCGAUGGCUAUUCACAGCUACCACCUUAAUCCAAAGAAGAGUUUGAACCAAUGCUUUAUUUCUGUCUUAGUGAAUCCCGAUUCGACAUUAAAAGUAUAUUGAUUCUUUCCCAAUAAACGAAGACUUUUUUCUGUAAAUACUGCGUAUUUGAUUCCAUUAUCAUAUGAUACUACUAUAUUUUAUUAUUUUCUUUUUAUUUCUUUAUUGUAUUAUACCUUAAUAUAUAUAUAUAUUCUAGAUAUAUAGAAUAGACGAAUCUCGAUUUGUCAAGUCUCAUGAUCAUAUCAUGAUCUAUUUUUAUUCGGCUCAAUCUUUUUUAUAAAAAAAAAGAUUGAGCCGAGUUUAAUUGCAAUCAAUUAGAAGAAUAAAGAAGAAUUACUGCAUUUCAUAACUUAUUUUUUUCUCUUUUUAUUUCGUUUAUUUUUUUUUAGACCUUCUUAUCGAUAGUAUCUACCGGCUCGAACUCGAAUUUGAUCGCCUUCCAUACUUCACAAGCUGCGGCUAGUUCAGGACUCCAUUUGCAAGCUGCUCGGAUAAUUUCAUUACCUUCGCGAGCAAGAUCACGCCCUUCGUUACGAGCUUGUACACAAGCUUCUAAAGCCACUCGAUUAGCUGCUGCACCAGGUGCAUUCCCCCAAGGAUGUCCUAAAGUUCCUCCACCAAAUUGUAAUACAGAAUCGUCCCCAAAGAUUUCGGUCAGAGCUGGCAUAUGCCAAACAUGAAUACCACCUGAAGCUACCGGUAUAACACCUGGCAUGGAUACCCAGUCCUGAGUGAAAAAGAUACCGCGAGCACGAUCUUUUUCAAUAAAAUCAUCGCGCAAUAAAUCAACAAAACCUAAAGUCAUUUCGCGUUCCCCUUCUAACUUACCUACUACUGUACCGGAGUGGAUAUGAUCUCCCCCAGACAUACGCAAUGCUUUAGCUAAUACACGGAAAUGCAUACCAUGAUUUUUCUGUCUAUCAAUAACUGCAUGCAUUGCACGGUGAAUGUGAAGAAGUAAGCCAUUGUCGCGGCAAUAGUGAGCCAAAGUAGUAUUUGCGGUGAAUCCCCCGGUUAAGUAGUCAUGCAUUACAAUAGGAACCCCUAAUUCUCUCGCAAAUACAGCUCUCUUAAUCAUUUCUUCACAUGUACCCGCAGUCGCAUUCAAGUAAUGCCCCUUGAUUUCACCGGUUUCGGCCUGUGAUUUAUAAAUAGCUUCGGCACAAAAGACAAAACGGUCUCUCCAGCGCAUAAAUGGUUGUGAGUUUACGUUUUCAUCAUCUUUGGUAAAAUCAAGUCCACCACGUAGACACUCAUAACACGCUCUACCAUAAUUUUUUGCGGAUAAUCCCAAUUUUGGUUUAAUAGUACAUCCCAAUAAAGGACGGCCAUACUUGUUCAACUUAU
rnacentral:lncRNA from 1 species